rnacentral:rRNA from 1 species
UACGAAGGGGGCUAGCGUUGCUCGGAAUCACUGGGCGUAAAGGGUGCGUAGGCGGGUCUUUAAGUCAGGGGUAAAAUCCUGGAGCUCAACUCCAGAACUGCCUUUGAUACUGAGGAUCUUGAGUUCGGGAGAGGUGAGUGGAACUGCGAGUGUAGAGGUGAAAUUCGUAGAUAUUCGCAAGAACACCAGUGGCGAAGGCGGCUAUCUGGACGGUUUCUGACACUAAGACUCGAAAGCGUGGGGAGCAAACAGG